GAUGAACGCUGGCGGCGUGCCUAAUACAUGCAAGUCGAGCGAACGGACGAGAAGCUUGCUUUUCUGAUGUUAGCGGCGGACGGGUGAGUAACACGUGGAUAACCUACCUAUAAGACUGGGAUAACUUCGGGAAACCGGAGCUAAUACCGGAUAAUAUUUUGAACCGCAUGGUUCAAAAGUGAAAGACGGUCUUGCUGUCACUUAUAGAUGGAUCCGCGCUGCAUUAGCUAGUUGGUAAGGUAACGGCUUACCAAGGCAACGAUGCAUAGCCGACCUGAGAGGGUGAUCGGCCACACUGGAACUGUGACACGGUCCAGACUCCUACGGGAGGCAGCAGUAGGGAAUCUUCCGCAAAGGGCGAAAGCCUGACGGAGCAACGCCGCGUGAGUGAUGAAGGUCUUCGGAUCGUAAAACUCUGUUAUUAGGGAAGAACAUAUGUGUAAGUAACUGUGCACAUCUUGACGGUACCUAAUCAGAAAGCCACGGCUAACUACGUG
rnacentral:rRNA from 1 species